AGGAUCCACCAGGCGGCUGGCUUGCGGUGUGCUUGCACGCCUGAACCCACCCAUCCAUCCACCCAUCCACCCACCCAUCCAUCCAUCCAUCCAUCCAUCCAUCCAUCCAUCCAUCCUUGCAUCCAACAUUUACUCAGCGCAUCCUCUGUGCCAGGUGGGGAUGCUCGUAUUAAACUGCCAGAGGACGCAUCCCCUAAACCAAGGAGACCAGGGCCCCCUGAGAAGCCUUGGGGGGAUCCGGUCCCAAGAGGUGGGGAGGGGGCUCCCGCCAGGACCUCUCGGGAGGGGGUGGUGGGUGGGUCCGAGGGGCUGCCAGCCAGCGCAUGCUCAGAUCUGUCACCCCUUCCCGCGCUCACCAGAGCGCCUACCUGUGUGCCCAUUCGCUGGUCUCUUUUGUUGCCUGUGGUAACCCCACAGUUCCUGGCACGUAGUAGACCCUCAAAUAAGUGUGAUGAAUGAAUGAAGCGUGAGCCUACCAUAUUCUCCAGGUUAGAAAGGACGCAGCGGGGCUGGGGAGGAGUGGCGGCCUCCCCUCCUGGAGAGAGGACACCGGCUGAGCCCAGCAAGAGGACCCCUUGUUAGGACAGCUCGGAGAAGCUGGCCUCGUGGGACCAAACCUGCUCUUCGAGACGGAAGCUUGCAGGGGUCUAGCGAGGAGGAGGCGCCCGCCACGCAGAGAGCGCUUCCCGGGCGAGCAGGCCCCUGCAGUUCUCUUCCUCCCCAAUAUUUGGGGAAUGGGAGUUUCACGCCCAGAAAACCCGGUGCUGGUCCCUGUAGCCACUCUAGCCUGCCGUGGGUCCCCGCUGGCCUUGUUGCUGGUCACCUCCCAGAACUUUGGGGUAUAGUGUUGACAACAUUGGCCCGGCUUCCAAGGAGAGGCCGCGGGAAGACCACUCUCUGUCACUGCCCAGCCCCACGCCUGGGCAAAGCCCCUCCUCCACACACAAGCACCGGUGUCUGUGUAGCGCAUCGUCCUGAGGAUCUGAGAUGUCACCAGGUUUCACGUGCGGACAACGACAGUGUGAAGGUCAACAUCUGAUCUCAGGAUUCCUAAAGGCCACAGCGCCGCUUGGCCUGCAGAAGUUGCCCGGCCAGGAUCCAGCCCCGCCCAGCAGCACAAUGCACCAUAGGGGCAGCAAGGCUGGAUCCUUAACCCCCUGCACCACUAGGUAACUCCCAUGAACUGCACUUCUGAACGACGGCUGUACCUCUGAACCGCAAGGAGCUCUGCGAUCCUUUACCCAGAUGCCCAGCUGCUUGUUCUCCAAACCCUGAAAAGUCACCGUGUUCUUUAGUUUUGAGAUGGUUGCCUUCAGCCGAAGUUGACUUUUAAAGCUUGAAUAAGACCUGAAAUUGUCUUCAAGAAUCUCACAACCUAAACUUACACUUCUGUGUGUGGAUAUUUCGGCCUCUGCAAAGCUUCUCAGCCCCGUGAGGGCUCACUCCUUGCAGCCACGGACCCUGGGGGUUUGGCUACAAAACAGAAUCCAGUGCUGCCCCAUCCCACAGAGAAUGACUGGGCUGAGCAGGGGGAAACUAGGGACACUAAGAAACGCUGACCCAGCAGUUGCUCCUGGAAGAAGCCAUUAAGGUCAAGGCAGAAAUAAUGGCCACUUCAACAGGAACAGGAGAUGCAGAACACAAGAGGCUGGGCCAGCAGGGCUGGGCUGAGUUUACCUGGGUCUGAGCAGCCUUCCUAGAAGCCUUGCUAGAGCCAGUUCUCAACUUAGCUGCAGACCAGGGGCUCUGGGGAGUGGGGACGGUCCCUGGGCUCCAGCCCAAACACGCUGAGCUCAUUGGUCUGGGGUGGGGCCUGGGAAAGGGCACUUUCAUAGACUCUUCAGGUGCUUCUCAUUGACAUUUAGAACUAAGAACCGCAACAACCAUAGUAAAGCUUCACCAUUUGCUGGUUCCAGAAAAAACAAAACAAAACAACAAAAUUUUAUGUUGUGCCUCAUAAAGAAGUUGAAAUGCAGCAUGAAUUACAAAGGUCAAGAAUCAGGAAAAAUAGGGGGCACCCAGACUUGAACUGGGGACCUCUUGAUCUGCAGUCAAAUGCUCUACCACUGAGCUAUACCCCCUUCUGCUAUAUGUGGUGACAAUUAAUACUGUUCAUCAGUCUAGCCACGCCCAGGCUGCCUGUAAAUCUAAGAGCCGCCACUUCAGGAAGGACCUCUUUUGGGAACUGGCAAACCACUCUUCAGCCUGCCACCUAAGAAGCAACAAGCUCUGUCCUCAAAAGCCCUGCAGCCUGUGUCCACCCACCCCGCCCCAGCCAAGGGCCCCAGGGUGUGAGCAGCAGCCGGGAGAAGCCUUGACGUUGGCUGUAGAAUGGCCUUCAGAGUCAGAGGCCUGGCUCCAUCAUGGUGGGCACCUAAAAAACAGACACUGCCGGUGACUGAGAUGUCUGUGCAAACCCAUUUAAUGAGGCCUGACUCUCAUGGGCCGACCGUCGGUUCAGGGCACUUUCUGCUAAACUACAGUCUGGGACAAAAAUGACCCUCCUCUUCUGCAGUUAAUAGAGAUGGAGAAUCAUGGAGGUGAUCCACUCCUAGGAACCGUCAGGAGUAGGCGGCUGAGUGAAUUUAGGAAUCAUCCAAAUUAUCCCUGAGCUAACAUGAUGCAAGGACCAGGCCAUGCUGCUGGAGAGGAACCAUACUGAGCCCCGGGGCCCUCUGAUCCGUGGGCAAAUCUGUCUGCACACUCACGCCAAGACCUGCUUCUGCUCUUGUCCAGGAAGCUGGGAACCUUCUCUUUGGAAAACCGAUGUUGGGAGCUCUCCCUCUCACCCCCCAGCUUCUCCCUCGGGGCCUCGGCAGCCCAGCAGUUGCUUUUCCUCCUCCCCUGGCUGAGAAGCUGGGGAGAGGCUGACCUUGACCGUGAUGCUGAGGUGGAAGGAGACCCGGGGCAGGGCUCUGCGGGAGACGCCAGCCUUUGCUCUGCCCACUAACAAACUUAGAAGGCCCGCAACUGGGAGAAAGAGCGGCCACCAGAGGAAAAGGCAACAAGGGGAGCCCUGGAGGAGACUUGUGGGUGACUGGGGAGAGGAGGGGGGGGCAGGCAGGGAGGAGGGACCCGGCCUGGAACCCCAGCUGGGUGAGGCCCACAGAGCCCCUACCUGCCCUGCUCUCUCCCCAGACACGCCUCGGCCCUAAGAUCUAAGUGACAGCGAAGCAGGUGCCUCCCAGCCACAGCAGGCCCUCCACCCCUGAGCCUCUGUAGAAGUCUUUCCUGCCGCCUGAAAUGCCCUCCUUCCCGGCCCUCGAGGACCAGGCCCUGCACCCAGGAGGCUUCUCAUUGGCUUCCUUCCUCUGCACCAGGCGCGGGCGGUCUGCUUCCGCAUCAAAACUACUCAGCCUCCCUGGCCACAAGUUUCUAGGGGAGCCGCAGGGUCAGGCACCGCCCCCCCCCCCCCCCCCGCCCCCGUCCCCACCAUGAUUCCAUUCUCUUAACACUAAGAGGAGGUCACAGAGGGUGGUCCUUCUCUGUCCUUGGCCUUGGAGUCCUCAGACACAUAGGGGCUAUUGGUUCAAACCCAGUGAGCUUAACACAGAUUCGGGGAGUUUAUUCCAUAAUGUGGCGGGGGUUUUUGUUUGUUUGUUUGUUUUGUCUUUUUAGGGCUGCACCUGUGACAUAUGGAGGUUCCCAGGCUAGGGGUUGAAUCGGAGCUGGAGCUGCUGGCCUGCACCACAGUCUCAGCAACUCUGUAUCCUAGCUGCGUCUGCAACCUACACCACAGAUCACUGCAAUGCCGGAUCCUUAACCCACUGAGUGAGGCCAGGGAUCGAACCUGCACCCUCAUGGAUACUAGUCGGGCUGGUUAACCACUGAGCCACAACAGGAACUCCCAUUCCAUAACUUGGGCUUUGUAGGGAGACUUCUUUAGAGACCGGAAGGAAAUUCAAGCAGCACAAGCAGUCCAGUGACCUUUCCUUGAGAGAAUCAGCCUCCACCCAAUCCCAGCGCCUCUGCCCCUGGGAACAGAGAGACAAGCACCUCUCUGCUCCGGUGGUUCGUGACCUUCUCCAGAGGACGUGGGCCCUGGCGCUUCCUGUCCACUGGAAGAAGAGCUCAGCAUCUGCUGAGUCCAAAAUCAUGGCCUUUCAAAGACACUCCCUGAAACAGCAGUUGAACAAGAAAAGGACUCGCACAGCCACCAUCUGUCUGUUGACCUGAGGAGUUGGAGAAACGAGAAACAGAAGGAAAAGAUCCAGAUGCCAGUAAGAGGAAGGCUACCCAGAGUGUUGACACAGGAAGAGGCCCUGCACCUGGACUGCUGCUGUUCGAGGGCUGACCUGUAGCUCCCAGUAGUCUCAGGGAGGUUCCUGAUAACUGGAGGAUAGAGGAAGCACCUUGAAGAGAUCCUGCCCAAGCUCUUUGGAGACACGUGCAGGACCUACACCUGAAGUGUAUCGAGGGGUUGAGUGGAGUCGUCCCCUGACAACCAGAAUAAGAGGUUCAAGUGGAAUAAGGCAGGGCAGUAAACGCACACGCUGAAGUCGGAUGCAGGAGUGAAUUGGCUAGAAGCGCCCCCGUGUGGUCAUGAUGUGGGCUUAUUGACCUGAAAUAUGAGCACCUUCAAGAGACAACGGGUCCACCAUCUAGAUGCCACCACAAAGAAUGACAGCACCCAGUAGUACAGAAACCACUGCCUUUGCCAGACUUCCUCCAACAUUCCCUGGUCAGCGCUGAAAGACUCUCUAAAGCUGAUCACCUAUCUUACUGAGAAAACAGCUCGAAGCUCACUCACGCCUGAGAGCUCUGUGAGUCUCUGCUGCUUAGAUGGGAAGCAGACUCCAGGGAACAUUUCCAGUGUCCCUGUUCAAGGCAGGUGACAGAGGUUCCUGUGUGAAGGCAGGGGCAGGGAGGUAGUCCCACACAGCCUCCUGCUUGCAGCCGCACUGCCCAAACGCUUGCAGCCCUAGCAGGUAGCAGGCAGUCCCCGCAGUCAACUCCCUUCUCUCUGUGCGGAAGCAGCUCAAGACGGAGCCCCUGCAGCCCUUCGGCAAGCACAGCCCUGUGCUCGGUAGUGGGGGAGCACACAGGAGGCGUCGAAGCUCCCAUUCCCCCCAUGCUGAUGCCUGUGUGUGGCAGAGGUGGGACAGUGCCCACAUGAAGGGCGGCAUCAGCAAGUCUCUGAGAAUAAGCAUCACUGGGAGUGGGGGUCGGGUCAGCCCUGGAGAAAUUCACCUGGGGCUGCAAGAAGAAGCUAGAGAGGCUUUUUCUAGCAAAAGCUCUAAACUAUCGAAGCUCUCUUCUGUCCUAGGAAGACUCAAUUCCACAGGACCCAGAGGUGAAAAGGCAUUUCUUCAAUCUGCAGAGAACUGAAAGGGGUACUGAGGGGUGGAGAUAUUGAGAAAAGUCCUCCAAACGGAGAAGGAACUUUAAGAGUGAAAAACAAAGCAGGCAACUCCAUAGAGUAGCCGUAUGAAGUUUAUUGUGGAUGACACCACAGGUGGGGCUGGCCUUCACAGCUGCACUCUGUGCUGUCAGUGGGGUCCAGGGGCAUUUAAAGGGGCCACAGCAAAAGACAGAAGCUGCGGGAGAAGCGUGUCUGCACGGAUGGCAGCCGAGGUUUUUGCCUCCCCUGUGGGGUCUCAUAACCAUUAACCCUUGCAAGUCAUUAACCAUCUGUCAGCAAAAGGCAUAUUCUUCCAGCGUGCCUUUCAGAGGCAGACAAGGGAAGAGGUUGAUGGACACUCGUCUGUCUGGGGUGCAUUCCUGGUGAGAAGGCUAAAGCUGUCUUGCAGAAGGGGAGGGGCAAGAGACGGAGCUGACAAAAUGGGGUCAGUGUGGUUCAAACACACAGGCCCCUCCCUUGUGAUCGCUGUCUGAUAAGCACCCGUGUGGCCUCAUCAGUACUUCUGUUUGUUUGUCAUCAGCCCAGGAGGACAGCUCCACUGCAAACUAAACCCCUUCUCUCUCAUUUUCUCCUUCCCCCAAGCCCUGACCCUUCCCACCUGGCAGCCCUGCAGCUUCCCCUCCCCCCAGUUCAAGGCAAGUCACCUAAAGCCACCAGUGUUCUCCUAGAAGAGCUUUUAGAAUGAUCCAGAACUUUGGCCAAACGGGGCACCCAGGAAAAUCAUCUCCUGUUUCUGUAAUGUGGGUGGAUGGAAAAAAAAAAAAGAAAGAGUGCUGUUGAAAAGUAAAACUUCCCAGGCUUAACAAACUCCGAAUCCCUAGGGAGGGGCCUGGGGAAGUCCCGCAGCAGCCGCAGGUAGCUACAGUGCCCAGCCGAGCUAUGAUGUAAGGCCUUGGCAUGGUCUUGGCUAGAACCACAUUUCUGGUUCUGGGACUUUCCAUUGCCCCAGCCUCGGAGAUGAGGGGGACCAGUUUCCUCUCUACCCCCACCUCCCCCAGCUACUGGUUGUCCUCUCAAUCUCAGCAGUGAAUAAAGCCAACCUGAAAGGGCCAUUUGGUGUGAGACCUUCAGGGGACACCUGGAUUUGAACCAGGGACCUCUUGGAUCUGCAGUCAAAUGCCCUACCCCUGAGCUAUACCCCCUUGCAAGGUAUAGUGUCUAACAAAUACCCUUUCACCUGUAUUGAAAUGCCCACACCCACUGUGCACUGCCGUUUCUACGAUUCUCAGAAAGUUCUGGAGAGAUGGGAAUUUUGCCUUCCAGAAAAUGAGCACCUUUUGGCCCUCUUCUUCCACAUAAAUCCCGUCCCAACUUUGGCCCCUAAAAACCUUCUCGUAGUCUCGUUUUUCCCAGUACCACUUUGAAGUUACCUGCUGCAAAAAAAAAAAAAAAAAAAAAAA
rnacentral:tRNA from 1 species